GGAUUUAAUCAGUGGUCCGCUACAGAGGAUCUCAGGGAACCGGGAUUAUUGGACUCAACCUUUACUAACACUGGAACACCUCAAUGUUGGAAAAUACAUUUUUAAGUUGAGAGUGACUGAUGGUGAUGGAGCAGUAGGUGUGGCCUAUGCUAAUGUUACUGUACAGGCGGAACCUGAUUACCCACCAACAGCUGAUGCUGGAGCGUCAGUAUUGAUACAAUUACCUCAUGAUGAGGUAACACUGGAUGGAGGACGGAGCAAA